rnacentral:rRNA from 1 species
GCCAGCAGCCGCGGUAAUACGGAGGAUCCAAGCGUUAUCCGGAAUCAUUGGGUUUAAAGGGUCCGUAGGUGGAUAAUUAAGUCAGGGGUGAAAGUCUGCAGCUCAACUGUAGAAUUGCCCUUGAUACUGGUUGUCUUGAGUCAUUAUGAAGUAGUUAGAAUAUGUAGUGUAGCGGUGAAAUGCAUAGAUAUUACAUACGAGUACCAAUUGCGAAGGCAGAUUACUAAUAAUGUACUGACACUGAUGGACGAAAGCGUGGGGAGCGAACAGGAUUAGAUACCCUGGUAGUCCACGCCGUAAACGAUGGAUACUAGCUGUUCGGAUUUAUCUGAGUGGCUAAGCGAAAGUGAUAAGUAUCCCACCUGGGGAGUACGUUCGCAAGAAUGAAACUCAAGGAAUUGACGGGGGCC